rnacentral:rRNA from 1 species
AUACGGAGGGUGCGAGCGUUAAUCGGAAUUACUGGGCGUAAAGCGUACGUAGGCGGUUUGUUAAGUUAGAUGUGAAAGCCCUGGGCUUAACCUGGGAACUGCAUUUAAAACUGGCGAACUAGAGUUGAGUAGAGGGGAGUGGAAUUUCAGGUGUAGCGGUGAAAUGCGUAGAGAUCUGAAGGAACACCAGUGGCGAAGGCGACUCCCUGGACUCGAACUGACGCUGAGGUACGAAAGCGUGGGUAGCAAACGGGAGUAGAUACCCUAGUAGUCC